rnacentral:tRNA from 1 species
GCUCGUAGCUCAGCUGGCAGAGCGCGGCAUUCGCAUUGCCGAGGUCAAGGGUUCGCUCGCUAUCGCAGCGAGCG